GCCGCCCGGAGGCCGCGAGCCGCCCCGCCCGGGCCGCGUCCUCGCCCGGGGGACGCCUCCCCGGAACCUGCUGCUCCGCCGGUUCGCGACCCUCCCCGGCCCGGUCCGCGCCGCGCUCCGCCAGCCUCCGGGGGUCGUUCCCCCAGCGGGCCCUUCUUGCCCAGCCUGGGGACGCCCGGGGUUCUCGCCCUCCGAUCUGAGCUGCCCACACGCCAGUGCCCCUCGCGCCGUAGGUAGGACAUCUCCCUUGCCAUCCCCACCGCCCGCAACCUGGCUUCCAAACUGGGGCGUGUGGGUUUCUCCCUCCAGAACGGGCGAGCCGUGGAGGGACAUUAAGUAGGGGAGUCGAUUUCAGAUUUGCGUUUUAGAAAGAUCGCUCGGGCUCCUGCGAAGAGGAGGGGCUGUAGGGGGCUGACACCGGAGACGAGGACAGAAGUUCUGAGGCUACCGCAAUGGCCCGGGUGCCUGCUGGACAGGGCCCAGGAGAGAAGUAGCCGGGAACCACAGACCGUGGAGUCCUGAGAAUGUAGUGGAAGCUGCCGCCUUGAGGACGCCCUGGGAAAGAUAAAGGAACUACACAUUCCUGGCAGAGGGUGCUGAGGACUGGGUCAGAGACAGAUGGAUCCCCUAUAUCCUGCAACAGCUGGCCAUCAAGGUAGCAACAACAGAGUCAAGAUAAUAAGACUCUUGUUUCCUGGGGGCGCAUAGGUGGCUCAGUCAGCAUCUGCCUUUGGCUCAGGUCACAAUCCCAGGGUUCUGGGAUGGAGCCCCGCAUCAGGCUCCCUGCUCAGCGGAGUGUCUGUUUCUCCCUCUGCCUCUGCCCCUCCCCCGGCUUAUGCUCUCUCGCUCACUUGUGCUCUCUCUCUCUCCUGUGCUCUCUCAAACAAAUAAAAUCUUUUAAAAAAUAAAUAAAAUAAAUUCAACUGGAAAAAAAAAAAUCCAAAAUCUUAAAAAAGACGGUUUCCUGGAGAGGGUACUAAAGAA